GCAGUCGUGGCCUAGUGGUUAAGACGAUGGACUAAUAAUCCAUUGGGAUCUUCCCGCAUAGGUUCUAAUCCUGUCGACUGCA